CGAGCCGGCCGGGCGGCCGCGUCGAGCCCACCAGGCUCGCCGAGGAAAGUCCGGGCUCCACAGGGCAGGGUGGUGGGUAACGCCCACCCGGGGUGACCCGCGGGACAGUGCCACAGAAAGCAAACCGCCGCCGCGCUCCUAUCCGGAGCGGGCGGUAAGGGUGAAAGGGUGGUGUAAGAGACCACCAGCGUCCGGGGUGACCCGGGCGGCUCGGUAAACCCCACCUGGAGCAAGGUCAAGAGGGGAGCUUCGGCUCCCUGCGCAGGCGUUCGA
rnacentral:RNase_P_RNA from 1 species